rnacentral:lncRNA from 1 species
ACACAUGGUGGAGGUCCUAUAAGACAUCGCCACAUAGCUCUUAGUUAGAUAGUAUAUAUGGAGGCAAGAGUGAAGCCUUCUUCACUCUUGUCAACGUUGUUGUAAUACGUAAAGUCUUGUUUGAGAAUGCUGCGGGCACCUGGCUAUGGAAGGUAGAAUGGAAAUUGCAACAAAUUUUUUUUAAUUCUAAUAGAACACUAAUAAUGUUAAAUAAGCUUUAAUCAAAUUCAGAGAAACCUCAGAGGAAUUCCAGGAAGACAAAAAGAAAUCUUAAAGAAAUAUUAGAAUGAUUACAAAUAUAUCUCAAAUACAUCUCCAUUCAAUCUUAAUUUAAUCCUACUUGAAAUCUUAUUAGAUUUCAUUCAAACUUUAGGCCAAAAACUAACUAAAUCUUAAAUCCUAAAUAAAUUCAAAUAAAACCCUAAAUCCUAAAUCAAAUCUUGAUCAAAUCCUAAUCAAAUCUUGAUCAAAUCCUAACCAAAUAUUAAACCCUAAAUCAAAUCUUAAAUUCUAAACCAAAUCCUAAACCCUAAAUUAAAACCUAACCAAAUACUAAAUCUUAAAUCCUAAAACAAACUCUAAUGCUAAAUCAAAUCCUAACUAAAUCCUAAUCCUAAAGCAAACCAUAACCAAAACCUAAUCUUAAAUCAAAUCUUAACCAAACUCUAAUCCUAAAUCAAAUCCUAACUAAACCUUAGUAAUUUCUAUAACAGAAUUAUACCUCAAUAACUAAUGAAUGAACUGUUGAACUUAACUCGAAUUUUGCAUACUUUUUAAAAACUAAGUUGAAAACAAGCACAAUUUUUUUGAAUAGGAUCGGAAUUACGAAAUAGAUGAUAACCUCAAAAACAUGCUCAGGUAUUGGCCGACCUCCUUCUCCAAUCUUGAUGCCAAUCUCUUAAAGCCAAUAUCUCUCCUUUUGACCAUUCGAUUGAUUUCAAAAUUCUUAUA